CCCUUAGAUGUUCUGGGCCGCACGCGCGCUACACUGACUGGUUCAUCGAGUAUACAACCUUGACUGAUAGGUCUGGGUAAUCUUCUCAAAGCCAGUCGUGCUGGGGAUAGAUUAUUGUAAUUUUUAAUCUUCAACGAGGAAUUCCUAGUAAACGCGAGUCAUCAACUCGCAUUGAUUACGUCCCUGCCCUUUGUACACACCGCCCGUCGCUCCUACCGAUUGAAUGCUCAGGUGAGCCAUUCGGACUUUCAUCAUGCUGGUUUCCAGUUUUGAUGAAGGAAAGUCUUGCGAACCUUAUCAUUUAGAGGAAGGAGAAGUCGUAACA
rnacentral:rRNA from 1 species